GUGGGGACGACGUCAAGUCAUCAUGGCCCUUACGUGUAGGGCUACACACGUGCUACAAUGGCGCAUACAGAGUGCUGCGAACUCGCGAGAGUAAGCGAAUCACUUAAAGUGCGUCGUAGUCCGGAUUGGAGUCUGCAACUCGACUCCAUGAAGUCGGAAUCGCUAGUAAUCGCGUAUCAGAAUGACGCGGUGAAUACGUUCCCGGGCCUUGUACACACCGCCCGUCACACCAUGGGAGUGGGUUGCUCCAGAAGUAGAUAGUCUAACCCUCGGGAGGACGUUUACCACGGAGUGAUUCAUGACUGGGGUGAAGUCGUAACAAGGUAGCCCUAGGGGAACCUGGGGCUGGAUCACCUCCUUAUACGA
rnacentral:rRNA from 1 species